rnacentral:rRNA from 1 species
GGAUUAGAAACCCCGGUAGUCCACGCUGUAAACGAUGAGUGCUAGGUGUUGGGGGUAUCAUGCCCUCGGUGCCGAAGUUAACACAUUAAGCACUCCGCCUGGGGAGUACGGUCGCAAGACUGAAACUCAAAGGAAUUGACGGGGACCCGCACAAGCAGUGGAGUAUGUGGUUUAAUUCGAAGCAACGCGAAGAACCUUACCAGGUCUUGACAUCCCUCUGAAUACGUUAGAGAUAGCGUAGGCCUUCGGGACAGAGGAGACAGGUGGUGCAUGGUUGUCGUCAGCUCGUGUCGUGAGAUGUUGGGUUAAGUCCCGCAACGAGCGCAACCCUUGAACUUAGUUGCCAGCACGUGAAGGUGGGCACUCUAGGUUGACUGCCGGUGACAAACCGGAG